rnacentral:lncRNA from 1 species
GACAUCCGUAGCACUGCCUGGAUGGAGUCCAAGUGAAAACAGAUCAUCGUUUAUGAGCAGAACUAGUAAAAGUAAAAGUGGAAGCAGUCGCAACCUCCUGAAAACCGACGACUUGUCCAGUUCAGUAACCAUGCUUUUAAAUCAUGCCACGGGUUACAGGGACUAUCAUGGAGACAGGCAAACGUGGGAAGUGUCCAAAGAGGACCAACAGAUUUCUAUUGCCAUUAUUUUCAAUUUUUAAAAUUUAUAAUAGGAAACAAAAAACCCAGCACAUUUUAGUCUGUUGAAAAUAAAUUUGACUACAUGAUAAAUAAAAACAUUUGAAAG